GGCGGGGUAGCUCAGCUGGUCAGAGCGCACGGCUCAUAAUCGUGAGGUCACGGGUUCGAUCCCCGUCCCCGCUA
rnacentral:tRNA from 1 species